AAGGUUGAAGAUAGACAAUUGGUUCACUUGGGUACAGUGGUUGAAGGUUGAAGAUAGACAAUUGGUUCACUUGGUACAGUGGUUGAAGGUUGAAGAUAGACAAUUGGUUCACUCGGUACAGUGGUUGAAGGUUGAAGAUAGACAAUUGGUUCACUUGGUACAGUGGUUGAAGGUUGAAGAUAGACAAUUGGUUCACUUGGUACAGUGGUUGAAGGUUUGAAGAUAGACAAUUGGUUCACUUGGUACAGUGGUUGAAGGUUGAAGAUAGACAAUUGGUUCACUUGGUACAGUGGUUGAAGGUUGAAGAUAGACAAUUGGUUCACUCGGUACAGUGGUUGAAGGUUGAAGAUAGACAAUUGGUUCACUUGGUACAGUGGUUGAAGGUUGAAGAUAGACAGUUGGUUCACUCGGUACAGUGGUUGAAGGUUGAAGAUAGACAAUUGGUUCACUCGGUACAGUGGUUGAAGGUUGAAGAUAGACAAUUGGUUCACUUGGUACAGUGGUUGAAGGUUGAAGACAGACAAUUGGUUCACUUGGUACAGUGGUUGAGGGUUGAAGAUAGACAAUUGGUUCACUCGGUACAGUGGCUGAAGGUCGUGAAACAAGAUUCUUGGAAUGAAGCUUCUACGAUCUCGUAGAUGGUGGACCAGAAGGUUGAAGAUAGACAAUUGGUUCACUCGUAACAGUGGUUGAGGGUUGAAGAUAGACAAUCGGUUCACUCGGUACAGUGGUUGAGGGUUGAAGAUAGACAAUCGGUUCACUCGGUACAGUGGUUGAGGGUUGAAGAUAGACAAUUGGUUCACUCGGUACAGUGGUUGAGGGUUGAAGAUAGACAAUCGGUUCACUCGGUACAGUGGUUGAGGGUUGAAGAUAGACAAUUGGUUCACUCGGUCCCGUGGCUGAAGGUCGUGAAACAAGAUUCUUGGAAUGAAGCUUCUACGAUCUCGUAGACGGCAGUUAUGGGGGAACACAC